GACGAACGCUGGCGGCGUGCCUAAUACAUGCAAGUUGAGCGCUGAAGGUUGGUACUUGUACCAACUGGAUGAGCAGCGAACGGGUGAGUAACGCGUGGGGAAUCUGCCUUUGAGCGGGGGACAACAUUUGGAAACGAAUGCUAAUACCGCAUAAAAACUUUAAACACAAGUUUUAAGUUUGAAAGAUGCAAUUGCAUCACUCAAAGAUGAUCCCGCGUUGUAUUAGCUAGUUGGUGAGGUAAAGGCUCACCAAGGCGAUGAUACAUAGCCGACCUGAGAGGGUGAUCGGCCACAUUGGGACUGAGACACGGCCCAAACUCCUACGGGAGGCAGCAGUAGGGAAUCUUCGGUAAUGGACGAAAGUCUGACCGAGCAACGCCGCGUGAGUGAAGAAGGUUUUCGGAUCGUAAAACUCGGUUGGUAGAGAAGAACGUUGGUGAGAGUGGAAAGCUCAUCAAGUGACGGUAACUACCCAGAAAGGGACGGCUAACUACGUG
rnacentral:rRNA from 1 species